UACGAAGGGGGCUAGCGUUGCUCGGAAUCACUGGGCGUAAAGCGCACGUAGGCGGAUUGUUAAGUCAGGGGUGAAAUCCCGGAGCUCAACUCCGGAACUGCCUUUGAUACUGGCAAUCUUGAGGCUGGAAGAGGUUAGUGGAAUUCCCAGUGUAGAGGUGAAAUUCGUAGAUAUUGGGAAGAACACCAGUGGCGAAGGCGGCUAACUGGUCCAGAUCUGACGCUGAGGUGCGAAAGCGUGGGGAGCAAACAGG
rnacentral:rRNA from 1 species